ensembl:lncRNA
GUAGAAGUCUGAUGUCCCUUUAUACCACAGGCUGGACAGUCCAUGUCCUUACAACAGGCUGGACAGUCCAUGUCCUUACAACAGGCUGGACAGUCCAUGUCCUUACAACAGGCUGGACAGUCCAUGUCCUUACAACAGCAGGUAGAAGUCUGAUGUCCCUUUAUACCACAGGCUGGACAGUCCAUGUCCUUACAACAGGCUGGACAGUCCAUGUCCUUACAACAGGCUGGACAGUCCAUGUCCUUACAACAGGCUGGACAGUCCAUGUCCUUACAACAGCAGGUAGAAGUCUAAUGUCCCUUUAUACCACAGGCUGGACCAUGUCCUUACAACAGCAGGUAGAAGUCUGAUGUCCCUUUAUACCACAGGCUGGACAGUCCAUGUCCUUACAACAGGCUGGACAGUCCAUGUCCUUACAACAGGCUGGACAGUCCAUGUCCUUACAACAGGCUGGACAGUCCAUGUCCUUACAACAGGCUGGACAGUCCAUGUCCUUACAACAGGAUGGACAGUCCAUGUCCUUACAACAGGCUGGACAGUCCAUGUCCUUACAACAGGCUGGACAGUCCAUGUCCUUACAACAGGCUGGACAGUCCAUGUCCUUACAACAGGCUGGACAGUCCAUGUCCUUACAACAGGCUGGACAGUCCAUGUCCUUACAACAGGCUGGACAGUCCAUGUCCUUACAACAGGAUGGACAGUCCAUGUCCUUACAACAGCAGGUAGAAGUCUGAUGUCCCUUUAUACCACAGGCUGGACAGUCCAUGUCCUUACAACAGGCUGGACAGUCCAUCUCCUUACAACAGGCUGGACAGUCCAUGUCCUUACAACAGGCUGGACAGUCCAUGUCCUUACAACAGCAGGUAGAAGUCUAAUGUCCCUUU